CCUGCCACCUCCAUAGUUUCCUCGGCCUCUUACUCCAUAGUUCCUGUAACCAGAUCCCCCUCCAGAUUGAAAUCUACCUCUAAAGUGACCUCGAUAAUUGGUAGACUUCUUCUCCUCAACAUAAGCUUGACGUCCUCCAAUUAAAAUUGGAGAUGCCUCAAUAGCUUUCUGCAAAGCACUUGCCUCCUCAAAUUCCACGAAACCAUAAGAAAACCGUUGCAGUCUAUUAUUUUUAACUUGAAUGCCUCCAUUCUUUAUAGGCCCAAACUUCUUGAACUCAUCAGCAAGUAAGUCCACAGUUGCAGUCGGAGGCAGACCUUUUACGUAGAUUGAAUAGCCAUCUGUGACUUCUCCAUCCUGGUUAUUCACAUUAUCAACAGAAUUUGAGCUGGAAGCUGGGCGAACAGUUGCUGUUACAGGAGGUUGAUUCACUUGCUCAACAUUCCUUGCCAUGGGCUUCCGAGAAGCAGGUGCUGGAGGAGAGGAGAAACUCGCAGCACUUCCCUUGAGAUGCAUGACCUGGAAGAAAGUUACAAACUAUUUUAGCAUAAGAAAAG
rnacentral:misc_RNA from 1 species